ensembl:lncRNA
GGGAAGGGUUAUAGUGACAGGGUUAGGGUUAGGGUUAUAGUGACAGGGUUAGGGUUAUAGUGACAGGGUUAUAGUGACAGGGUUAGGGUUAUAGUGACAAGGUUAGGGUUAUAGUGACAGGGUUAGGGUUAUAGUGACAGGGUUAGAUUAUAGUGACAAGGUUAGGGUUAGUUUGACAGGGUUAUGGAUAUAGUGACAGGGUUAGGGUUGUAGUGACAGGGUUAGGGAUAUAGUGACAGGGACAAGGACAGGGUAAUAGUGACAGGGUUAGGUUAUAGUGACAGGGUUAGGGUUAGGGUUAGGGUUAGGGUUAUAGUGACAGGGUUAGGGAUAUAGUGACAGUGUUAGGGUUAUAGUGACAGGGUUAGGGAUAUAGUGACAGGUUUAGGGUUAUAGUGACAGGGUUAGGGUUAUCGUGACAGGGUUAGGGUUAGCAAUUAUAGUGACAGGGUUAGGGAUAGGGUUAUAAUGAAAGGGUUAGGGUUAUAGUGACAGGGUUAGGGCUAUAGUGACAGGGUUAAGGUUAUAGUGACAGGGUUAGGGUUAUAGUGACAGGGUUAGAGAUAUAGUGACAGGGUUAGGGAUAUUUUGACAGGGUUAGGGUUAUAGUGACAGGGUUAGGGUUAUAGUGACAGGGUUACGGAUAUGGUGACAGGGUUAGGGAUAUAGUGACAGGGUUAUAGUGACAGGGUUAGGGGUUAUAGUUUCAGGGUUAGGGAUAUAGUGACAGGGUUAGGGUUUUCGUGACAGGGUUAGGGUUAUAGUGACAGGGUUAUAGUGACAGGGUUAUAGUGACAGGGUUAGGGUUAUAGUGACAGGGUUAUAGUGACAGGUUUAGG